ensembl:lncRNA
GUGGUUCACCAUAUACAUAAUUGAUGUUCUGAUGUCUGUUUACGUUGCAUAUACUCUGUAAUAAAUUAUUGUAGGCCAAGUAGUUAAUAUAAUUUAUGUAGCUCAAGAGAAAUUUGUGCUUUGCAGUUUUGUAAACUGUUUAGAAUUGAAUUAACAUUUGAGGAUGAUAAGAUUUUUUAUUUUUUUUAAACAAGUUGCAUAUGUUCACCAAGGCUGCAUUUAAUCAAACGUACAGUAAAACAGUAUUGCUGUGAAAUAUUAUUACAAUUUAUAUCACUUCUGUUUUAAUAUAUUUAAUAAUUUAAUUUAUUCCUAUGAUUUCAAAGCUGGCUUUUCAGCAAUCUUCAGUAAUACAUUUUUUUUCUUUGAUGAAUAGAAAUGUCAAAACAACAACAUUAAUUUGAAAUGGGGAUCUUUUAUAACAUUAAAAAUGAAUGAUCAAAAUAAAUAAAAAAAUAAUCAAAUUUAAUGCAUCCUUGCUCAAUACAAAGUAUUUCUUGCUUUAAAAACUUUACUGAAUCCAAACAUUUAAGUGUAGUGUAUAUGAAAAUAGUUGUCAUAUUGUCACAGGUCGGAGCGGACCACAGGUGUUGCGAGUCACGCCCCUUCCCGACUUCCACCUCGAGGAGGUCCCAAGAUCACCCCAAGGACCAGACACACAAGAUAAGUUAAGGGUAAUUUAAAACAACUUUAUUUAAAUUAUUUAAAAAGGUAAUCUAGGAAAGGAGAAAAGGGGAAUCUAAAAUUUUGAUCUUCGUCUCUUGGCAGGAGGGAACUGAGCCUGAGAACUCUGGAGGUCUUUGGUAAGUAAUCACAAGGGGAGGGGGGGGCAAAGGGCUCUUUCGUCCUUUCCCAGAACUUCUACCAGUCUCCUGACUAAUCCUAAGUCCUUCCUUAGCGGCUUGAUUUCCCGUGGCGCCCUUCUCUUCUCCUGAAGGCAACAGAACACACAAUGAGUAAUAGAUAAAACGGAGAAGAAUGCCUUGUUCCUAGCUUCUUUGCUCUUUGGGUUGCACUUCACCAGCGUCUGGACAGCUCCUCCACUCCCAUUGACCUCCUAGGUAAGUAUAAGGCGACACACAAAUCCCUGAGGGCACAGGUAAGUAACAACGGUAAGGAUGUAGCAAGGUAAGUAUUCAACAAGUGACUGUAUCUUCACGCUGGGCUUUACAGGGCGUAUUCAAGGACAAUAGCUUUUAGCUCGUACAGACAGGUAAGUAUUCAACAAGUGACUGUAUCUUCACGCUGGGCUUUACAGGGCGUAUUCAAGGACAAUAGCUUUUAGCUCGUACAGACAAGCAAGUAUUCAACAAGUGACUGUAUCUUCACGCUGGGCUUUACAGGGCGUAUUCAAGGAUAAUAGCUUUUAGCUCGUACAGACAGGUAAGUAUUCAACAAGUGACUGUAUCUUCACGCUGGGCUUUACAGGGCGUAUUCAAGGACAAUAGCUUUUCCCACAAUAUCCGCACAAUACCUUGUUUUGCUUUCGCACUUCACCUUCAAGCUGGGUCCAGAGAACGGAGUUAUAGGCGGGCGUAGGUGGAAUAGGUGGGCACCGCCACGGCAGCCUACGUUCUUUCCAACAGGAACCUUUCUCGGCCUGGAGGGCAAGUACAGACAACAGGGACACGGCACAGCACUGCAAAGCUUUAGUGCACACACGUCAAAGACAGACUCACCCACUGCACUACACACACUUCAGUGAUUUUUAAGGUCGGUACUCCACACCCGGUCGGAUUUCGUCCUGGAGGAAUUUGCAGUCGCUGUCACGGUAAGUGUUCCAAACUUUACGGUGUGGCCACAGCCAAAUAACAUCCAUUCACCCACGCUCUACUUCGGCUCACCCACUCGUCUCGUCCUCCAACGAUGGGGCCGCUCAACAAGCUGUUAAUCACUCCAACAGGUAUUGGUUAUCCACAUCCAAGUAUGAGCAAGGAAUAUGUAAACAAUCCAAUGUACUCACAAUCUUCGUGAUACUGGUCCUCUCCCGCUCUCUUUCUCAUCCAGAUAUACACAACAAUCUAAGCAAUCCAAUGUACUCACAGUCUUCGUAAUACUGGUCUCCUCCCGCUCUCUUUCUCUCCCCAGCUUCGUGCAGACGCCCAGAAAGGUCGUCGUUGUUCCACAAUGUCACUAUUUCUCUACGGCACCUUCGUACAACAGACACGAGUGAGUACGACUUCUCUCCAUCAACUUCACUUUGGCAAACCUGUUCCAGUGGCCGUUUUCAAAUCCUCCAAUUCGCUUAGCGACUCCACAAUUACUCUCAUCUGCUUCGCCCUACUCCAGCGCCCAAACACUCCGUCCCACUCGUGGCGUUCCUUGGGAGGCCAAAAACAACACACCUUCCUGUAUCCUCGAUGCCCUCUUUAUACCCAUGAACUGCCCUGUCUGCAAUCGCCACAUCAUUGGACACACCUGCUGCAGAUUUCCCUUGAUUUGGAGCGUUCGGGGUUUUCCCGGAAGUGACAAGGGCUUACACAUUUCCGGUCCGGGCGGAACUUCUCCUCUCACUUUGGUUCCGCCCUCAAAGUCACUUCGUGACAAUAUACUUCAAAAUAUUUUAAUAAAAAGUAUAUAAAAG